UACGGGGGGGAGCAAGCGUUGUUCGGAUUUACUGGGCGUAAAGGGCGCGUAGGCGGCCAGCGCAAGUCAGUUGUGAAAUCUCCGGGCUUAACUCGGAACGGUCAACUGAUACUGCGCGGCUAGAGUGCAGAAGGGGCAACUGGAAUUCUCGGUGUAGCGGUGAAAUGCGUAGAUAUCGAGAGGAACACCGGUGGCGAAGGCGGGUCUCUGGGCCGAUACUGACGCUGAGGAGCGAAAGCGUGGGGAGCAAACAGG
rnacentral:rRNA from 1 species